UUUUCGUAGGUGAACCUGCGGAAGGAUCAUUAAAGUUAUAGUCCCCCGGCCCUGUGGGCUGGGGUCUUCUAUACCACCCUUUGUUUAUUACACCUUUGUUGCUUUGGCAGGCCUGCCCUCGGGCUGCUGGCUCCGGCCGGCUCGCGUCUGCCAGAGGACCUAAACUCUGUUUGUAUAUGAAGUCUGAGUACUACAUAAUAGUUAAAACUUUCAACAACGGAUCUCUUGGUUCUG
rnacentral:misc_RNA from 1 species